rnacentral:lncRNA from 1 species
GAACUCAAGGUGGAAGUACCGGAGUACCUGGGGCCGCUGAUGUUUGUGAAACUGCGCAAACGUCACUUCCUUCAGGUUCUGCAGCUGGAUCUCCGUGUAGGGCCCCGGAGCCGGGGACGAGGUCAGGUUCCCUUGUUACCGCUGGGUGGAGGUCGACGGCGUCCUGAGCCUGCCUGAAGGCACCAGGGCGAGAAGAGGCGCUCACCAAAAGUCACUGGCCAAGCCCUCCUCUGGCCUUCUAGGCCGUACUGUGGGCGACGACCCUCGAGGCCUGUUCCAGAAACACCAGGAAGAGGAGCUGGAAGAGAGAAGGAAGUUGUACCGGUGAGCCCUCCUCCCCUGACCCCACGUGAGCUGCUGAUGCUUCCAGCACCCACGCCUGAUUUCCUUCCUGCCCUACAGGGUUGCUGCAAAGAUCGAACGAGAUAACUAGUGGAUUCAACAGGGACAGGAAGGCCUGGCACCCAGCAGGUGGGCAGGGCGUAACUAACUGUUCAUUCAUCCACCUCCCUGGGCUCCCCACACUGCAGAAAACCAGAGACAAGUCAGCAGCACAGUGGAGCUUUCCGCGGGAGACAGAGCAUUUAAUGAGAGCAAGAGCUGGACAGUGUGGUCAGGAAUCGUCCCACCCAAGGAACCAGACACAUACUCGGUCCUUGAUGGGGUUUCCUGAGGCUCUCAUACUUUCUCCUGCCCUGGAAAAUGCCAUCCAGGAGCUCAUCUCUUUGCUACUGCCUCUCUUCCAGAGCAGCACAAGAAGGAAAUAAAAUGGACUUGCGGGGGAAAGAAGAUGCUUGUCUCUCAUGUCUGUCUCUUACAGGGGGGUUCUGAAGAUUCCCACAGCCUCUCUGGAGUUGUUGCCCCACUUUGGGGUCUUUGUCCGAGUAACUUCAAGUAGAUUGGCCCACGGGCAGGGGUUGUUUGCUGAGAGAUCACCAAGCGCUGCUCAAUCUCAACGAUCCUCUGUUGUCACCAGCCAUGGCUGUGAAGGCCAGUCAACAAAGGGAAGAUUUUACCCAGAGGAGCUCAAACGCUGGCAUGAAAGACUCUGAAGUGGCAUAGCCAGUGGAAAUUAACAGCUGUGUCCACUCUGGGCCUCAGGUGAGGGAGGGCCUAGAUAGCCCACUGUGGCCCCCAGAG